GGAAAUCAUAGUCGAAGUUGUCGUCAUUUUUAACAAAAAUAUUGACAUGGUUUUCAAAUUCGAAAAUUUUUAUUUUUAAAGUAACCAUUUCGAUAUGAAAUUGGCUAAAAUUAAAUAUAAAAAAGAAAUAUUCAAAAAUCAUGCAUCGAAUUGAAGACUGCAAAUUAUUGUCUCGAGGAAAAUGACGAUGGCAGACGAGCAUACGGCCAACCUGAUGGUGAGUAGUCACCGUCGCUCAUGGACGUCAGCAAUGCCAGGGGCAGAGCCAAGCCGCUGCCUACCAUAAAUCUGCAUUUUCUUUAGAAGAUCUUUAAGCUGUGUAUAGUUAUGAGAAAUUGGAAGGAACACUUGACUGAUUUUUGCGAUUCUAAUUUAUAUGGGCACAAAUCAUUGGCAAUAGACAUUACAUGCAUAUAAACCAACUUGGGAACCGUCGAUCGAAAAUGAAAUUACUGACUGAAAAGACGCUUUUAUACAUUCAAAAUACUGAUAGAAAUUGUUUGGUAAUUGUCGAGUUGAAUUGAAGUUGGUUUUUAAUUGUC